ensembl:lncRNA
UCCCAUACCCCGUUCUGCACCGAAGCGCUGCACCCAAAGCGCUGCGUUGCAGUCCUGCGCUGCAAUCCUGGGCCAAAAGCAGGUGCCAAAGUCCUGCACCAAAGCCCUGCAGCGAAGUCCCACAUGCAAAAUCCUGCAUCCAAAAUCCUGCAACCAAAGCCCUGCAGCAAAAUCCCACACCCAAAAUCCUCCGUCAAAGUCCUGCACCCAAAAUCCUGCGUCCAAAGCCCUGCAUCCAAACCCCUGCAGCAAAAUCCCACACCCGAAGUGCUGCAUCCAAAGCCCUGCAGCAAAAUCCCACACCCCAAAUCCUGCAACCAAAGCCCUGCAGCAAAAUCCCUGCAUCAAAAUCCUGCAACCAAAGUCCUACACCCAAAACCCUGCAGCCAAAAUCCCACACCCGAAGUGCUGCAUCCAAAGCCCUGCAGCAAAAUCCCACACCCAACGUCCUGCACCAAAGUGCCGCAUUCAAAGCCCUGUGCCAAAAUCAGGUGCCAAAGCCCUGCACCAAAGUCCUGCACCGAAGUCCUGCACCACAGUCCUGCACCCAAAGCCCCAUACUCAGUUCUGCACCAAAGUGCUGCAGCCAAAAUCCUGCAACCAAAGCCCUGCAGCAAAAUCCCACACCCAAAUCCUGCGCCAAAGUCCUGCACCCAAAACCAUGCAUCAAAGUCCUGCACCAAAGUCCUGCACACGAAGUCCUGCACCAAAUUCCUGCACCGAAAUCCUGCACCGAAGUCCUGCACCACAGUCCUGCACCCAAAGCCCCAUACUCAGUUCUGUACCAAAGUGCUGCAGCCAAAAUCCUGCAACCAAAGCCCUGCAGCAAAAUCCCACACCCAAAAUCCUGCAACCAAAGCCCUGCAGCAAAAUCCCUGCAUCAAAAUCCUGCAACCAAAGUCCUACACCCAAAACCCUGCAGCCAAAAUCCCACACCCGAAGUGCUGCAUCCAAAGCCCUGCAGCAAAAUCCCACACCCAACGUCCUGCACCAAAGGGCCGCAUUCAAAGCCCUGUGCAAAAAUCAGGUGCCAAAGCCCUGCACCAAAGUCCUGCACCGAAGUCCUGCACCACAGUCCUGCACCCAAAGCCCCAUACUCAGUUCUGCACCAAAGUGCUGCAGCCAAAAUCCUGCAACCACAGCCCUGCAGCAAAAUCCCACACCCAAAAUCCUGCGCCAAAGUCCUGCACCCAAAACCCUGCAACCAAAGUCCUGCAACCAAAGCCCUGCAGCAAAAUCCCACGCCCAAAGUCCUGCACCAAAGGGCCGCAUUCAAAGCCCUGUGCCAAAAUCAGCUGCCAAAGCUCUGCAACAAAGUCCUGCACUGAAGUCCUGCACCAAAGUCGUGCACCCAAAGCCCCAUACUCAGUUCUGCACCAAAGUCCUGCACCCAAAACCCUGCAUCAAAAUCUUGCAACCAAAGCCCUGCGUCCAAACCCCUGCAGCAAAGUCCUGCAUCCAAAAUCCUGCAUCCAAAGCCCUGCAGCAAAAUCCCACACCCAAAGUCCUGCACCAAAGUCCUGCAACCAAAGCCCUGCAUCCAAACCCCUGCAGCAAAGUCCCACACCCAAAAACCCUGCAUCAAAAUCCUGCAACCAAAGCCCUGCGUCCAAAGCCAUGCAGCAAAAUCCCACACCCAAAGUCUUGCACCAAAGCCCUGCACCCAAAAUCCUGCACCCAAACUCUGCACCCAAAGCCCUGCACCGAACAUCCUGCAACCAAAGCCAUGCAGGAAAACCCCACAGCCAAAGUCCUGCACCAAACCAUGCAGCAAAGCUGCAGCAAAGCCCUACACCCCCAAUGCUGCACCCAAAGCACUGCACCCAAAGCCCUGCACCGAACAUCCUGCAACCAAAGCCAUGCACUGAACAUCCUGCAACCAAAGCCAUGCAGGAAAAUCCCACAGCCAAAGUCCUGCACCAAACUAUGCAGCAAAGCUGCAGCAAAGCCCUGCAUCCCCAAUCCUGCACCCUCAACGCUGGAUCCAAAGCCCUGCACCGAACAUCCUGCAACCAAAGCCAUGCAGGAAACCCCCACAGCCGAAGUCCUGCACCAAACCAUGCAGCAAAGCCCUACAACCCCAAUACUGCACCCAAAGCGCUGCACCCUCAAUCCUGCACCCCAAAGCCAUGCAGGGAAACCCCACACCCAAAGUCCUGCACCAAACCAUGCAGCAAAGCCCUACACCCCCAAUCCUGCACCCUCAAAGCUGCAUCCAAAGCCCUGCACCGAACAUCCUGCAACCAAAGCCAUGCAGGGAAACCCCACAGCCAAAGUCCUGCACCAAACCAUGCAGCAAAGCCCUACACCCCCAAUCCUGCACCCUCAAUGCUGCACCCAAAGCCCUGCACUGAACAUCCUGCAACCAAAGCCAUGCAGGGAAACCCCACAGCCAAAGUCCUGCACCAAACCAUGCAACAAAGCCCUACACCCCCAAUCCUGCACCCAAAGCCCUGCACCGAACAUCCUGCAACCAAAGCCAUGCAGGAAACCCCCACAGCCAAAUCCUGCACCAAACCAUGCAACAAAGCCCUACACCCCCAAUCCUGCACCCAAAGCCCUGCACCGAACAUCCUGCAACCAAAGCCAUGCAGGAAACCCCAAAGCCAAAGUCCUGCACCAAACCACACAGCAAAGCCCUACACCCCCAAUCUUGCACCCCCAAAGUGCUGCACCCAAAGCGCUGCACCUGCAGUCCUGCACCCAACCCCUGCACUCCAAAUCCUGCACCAAAGUUCCUCACCAAAGUCCUGCACCCAAAUCCUGCAACCAAACACGGCCUUGCGGCGCUGCGCCCCGAGCCCUUCACUGAGGCGCAUGGCUGCACUGCUGCACAGCUGUGGCACCGCACCCCAUGCACGGCAGCACCUGCAGCACCGCAGAACCCCCC